AUCCAGCUGACGAGUCCCAAAUGGGAGGAAACGCGCAUCCUGAAU
rfam:Schistosoma rodhaini strain Burundi genome assembly, scaffold: SROB_scaffold0002579